UUGGUUGGGUACUUAUAAAGAUAGGAUAAUUUUAUACAGUUUCCUGUAAACAUAUCGAAUUGCAGAUAUAUUUCUACAAAGAUUAAGUUUUAUAUUUAUCCCUAAAAAAUUUCUAUCAGUUUGUUAAGUGUCCGUUAGAAAAAUAUAGUUAAGCACAUAUAAAAUACUUAAAUCUCGAUUAGUGAGUGAAGUACUUUGACCUUUCUAUUCUUUUGAUAUUAUACCUUGUUCUCUCAAUCAAAAUUCUACUAAUAGGACCUCAUUUUCAUCUUCCUCUUCCUUAUUUUCUCUCCCCUUUAUGUUAGUUUCAAAUUUGUAACUAAGGUUUCUUCAUCCUCAUUCAUCCAUAAUGCUUGUUGUUUCAUCCCAUGUCGAGCGUCGGAUAAUUAGUAUUAGAUAGGUAAAGGCGAUAAGGAGCGAGAGAGAGGUAGAAAAAAGAUUACAACAAUAGUGUAUUAGGUUAAUUUUUAUAGAGAAAGAAGAUGAUUAUUGAAAAUUUUUUAAAAGGACAUUUCUGCAUUAUUCUAGUUCUUGGAGGAACAUAUUUAUGAUGGCAAAUUAACAUUUCAUUUAUUUUUUGUUAGAAAAUAAGCAGUAAAUUAACGGUAACAAACUAAAAGAAAAAAUAUGAAUAUUAUUGAAUUUUGAAAGAAUAGAUUUGAAAACUUAAACUUUAUGAAAAUAUAUUUGUUAUUCAAUAUAUUUAUAGAGAGCUGUAUGGAAUUAUCCCUAUAAAGAUAAUAUAUAAUAAUAUUGGUGA
rnacentral:lncRNA from 1 species